UACGGGGGGGGCAAGCGUUGUUCGGAAUUACUGGGCGUAAAGGGCUCGUAGGCGGCCAACUAAGUCGGAUGUGAAAUCCCCAGGCUUAACCUGGGAACUGCAUCCGAUACUGGAUGGCUUGAAUUCGGGAGAGGGAUGCAGAAUUCCAGGUGUAGCGGUGAAAUGCGCAGAUAUCAGGAAGAACACCCGUGGCGAAAGCGGCUCUCUGGAACGGUACUGACGCUGAGACGCGAAAGCGUGGGGAGCGAACAGG
rnacentral:rRNA from 1 species